UGUGUGUGUGUGUGUGUGUGCAUACGCGCACACACACACGCGCGCGCACACACACACACACACACACACA